rnacentral:rRNA from 1 species
CCUACGGGUCGCUGCAGGCGAGAAAACUUUGCAAUGUGCGAAAGCACGACAAGGUUAAUCCGAGUGGUUUCUGCUAAAGAAACCUUUUGUUAGUCCUAGAAACACUGAUGAAUAAGGGGUGGGCAAGUUCUGGUGUCAGCCGCCGCGGUAAAACCAGCACCUCAAGUGGUCAGGAUGAUUAUUGGGCCUAAAGCAUCCGUAGCCGGCUAUGUAAGUUUUCGGUUAAAUCUGUGCGCUUAACGUACAGGCUGCCGGGAAUACUGCAUAGCUAGGAAGUGGGAGAGGUAGACGGUACUCGGUAGGAAGGGGUAAAAUCCUUUGAUCUAUUGAUGACCACCUGUGGCGAAGGCGGUCUACCAGAACACGUUCGACGGUGAGGGAUGAAAGCUGGGGGAGCAAACCGGAUUAGAUACCCGUGUAGUC